rnacentral:lncRNA from 1 species
GCGCUGCCGUCAGUGCCGCGGCUAAGAGAGGUGGUCGCUGCCCCUCCCUCCCCGCCAUACCUGUCCCUGCCCCUCCCUUGUCCAGCCCGCCGACGGUGCUGAGUGCGUGCGUGUGUGACCUUGAUGUUUUAAGGGUGAACAUGUAUACCAAGUGACCAAAGGGAAGGAACAAUGAUAAAUGAAUAAACAUGGAAUAGUGAUACAAUUGAGUAACUAAGAGAGAAAAAAAAAAUCGAUAUACAUUUUCUUCAUCGCUCAAUGGCUAUCGAUAUACGAUACGCGAUGAGGACGAAACAAGACACUUAGGAAGAAAAGGUUCAACUUGAAGAAAAGAAAAGAGAAAGAAAAGAAAAGAAAAAAAAAGAUACAUAAGAGUCGUGCAGCUUUGAAA